rnacentral:rRNA from 1 species
GACGUGGGAUGCAAGUGUUAUCCGGAAUCACUGGGCGUAAAGCGUCUGCAGGUGGUUUCCUAAGUCCACUGUUAAACCUUGAGGCUCAACCUCAAAUCUGCAUUGGAAACUAGGAGACUUGAGUAUAGUAGGGGUAGAGGGAAUUUCCAGUGGAGCGGUGAAAUGCGUAGAUAUUGGAAAGAACACCGAUGGCGAAGGCACUCUACUGGGCUAUUACUGACACUCAGAGACGAAAGCUAGGGGAGCAAAUGGG